rnacentral:rRNA from 1 species
AUGCCAGACUCAUCUCUGAUAGCAGACAUGGGUAGUUGUAAAUUAGAAGGGGAGGACAUAGAAGCCGAUGGCGUGGAGGUAGUCUCCGGCGCGGCCGAACAUGCCGACGACGCUGCCGUUGUUGAGCACGGGCAGGCUGUAGUGCGUGCUGUCCACCGCGUGCCCGAACGGGCCGUAGGUGGCCUGGUUGGUCACAAACUUGAUGGAGGUGAUGCAGUGCUCGAUCUCCUUGAGCUUGAACGGACCCACCGACCAGUCGACUUGAGUUAUGUACUCCGACGGCCCCAGGGUGAUCUGCACGACGUACAUACAUACAAGUAUGUGUAUCAGACCAAGAAAAGAAACAGGAGUGACAAGAAGUGCCCUGGAUCGCUCGCUCACCGUGUCCGGGUCUUCCUUUUCCCCUCCGGCGCCGCCCCAGGGCCCGGCGGUGUGCAGCUGCUUGUCCUUGUCCAUGUAGGUGAAGCCGACGGAGUCGAGGACCUUGCCCCAGCGGAUGGUGAUGCUCUCCAGCCGUUGCGGCGCCACCGUGAUGUCGUGGGCGACCCCGUCAUCGCCGCCCCACGUCCCCAGCUUCACCACCGGGCUCGGGCUCUGGCUCUGGCUCUGCACGCACAUACAAAACGACCAGCCGCCAUGAGUCCUCCUGUGAAGAUAGAUAGCACAGCAUGGAGCUUGCUUUUUUAUCUUUAA